rnacentral:misc_RNA from 1 species
UUACACCGGAAGGGCUUGGCC